GAUGAAGAACGUAGCGAAAUGCGAUAAGUAGUGUGAAUUGCAGAAUUCCGUGAAUCAUCGAAUCUUUGAACGCACAUUGCGCCUUCUGGUAUUCCGGAAGGCAUGCCUGUUCGAGAGUCAUUAACAACCGUUUCGAUCCCUUUCUUUCAGAAAUUACAAAGAGGAAAAGGGUGUGGUUAUGGUGGAGGAGGGAAAGGGAGCGUUUAGCCUGUAAAAAAAGAGGCUGUGUUCCGCCUCCCCCCCAAAAUUGUACAGGCGGUCGUGUGCGCCCACGCAUCGAGGUGUUGUAAAAGCUGCCACGGCACUUUUCACCUGUGCAGUGCGAGAUUGGCCAGCCGGUUUAAAAACCCCUCCAAACAAUCAAAGGUUGACCUCGGAUCAGGUAGGGAUACCCGCUGAACUUAAGCAUAUCAUAAGCGGAGGA
rnacentral:misc_RNA from 1 species